GUGUGUGUGUGUGUGUGGCCUUUCCCCACACCCUUCUAGGCCCUCCUUCACGGACGAAACCAAUGCACGUCAACCGAACUCGGCGCUGCACCCAUCGCUCUUGCUCUUCCAUGUGAACUGGUGUCGCGCAAGAGCCGGGGGACGGCAAGAAGAUCGUUCACACACAACACCAUGAGGGAAGAGGUACUCUGACGCGGCUGCAUCACAUGCCACGCAUCGUGUGUCGCCACUCUCUAUACUCACCGUCAGUGUUGUCUCACCAACCUCCUCCAUCCCCGGCCGCCACAUGAUCUUUUCCGACCCUCUUGCGUUUCAGCGGUGCGCUGCUGUAGCGCGCGCGUCGACGGCUGCGUCGCACCACAGCGUCUGGAAUCAGGAAACGUUUGAGGUGCUCAUGCAAAUGCUCAGCGCUGUCGCGGCCAGGCUCGCAAGGAAUCACCUGAAGCGCAAGGUUCGGCGCGCCCUGUCCAUCGCUGGCUUUCGGGUCGUCGCCUGCGCCAUGCUUGGUGCCACGGAUCGUACUCUUGGCCACGCCCCACGCGUCGCAGGUCAUCCACCGCGUUUGCUCGGGCGUCUCGGCCACGUGGACGGUGGCAGUACUCGCGGGCUGUGUAGAGGCAGGGCGACGCACCUUUUUGCGUGUGUGCAUGGCUUGAAGUGGAUGGGCCAAACCCUGAGCACUUUAUCAGCGCGGUGGCACUCAUCCGCUUGCUCGUCUAACCCUCUGGAGUGGCUGGGCAAGGUCGGCGCUGGUGAAGACCAUGUGCGCCAGUAUUUUUCCCGCACUUGGCCACGAAGGCAGUCGUGUGGGCGCUGCACGGCAAGCGCAUGUUCAAGAAGGAAGAGGACAAGGACGCAGCGUGCGCGGCCGCUGCGAUGGUGGUGGGCACGGAGGCUGGUGUGGAGCGAGGCCGUGAGAGGGCAGGCCUUCCGCUUGCGCGUGCGGCAUCAGUGGCUGCACCGACCACCACCACCACCCUCGCGUCUGCCUCGGAGGUGAAGCUGAUGCGAUCGAUGCCGGUUACUGACAUCGCUGCUACCAAGCGGAGAUGGAGGACACGGAAAACGGCAACGCUGCAGUGAACAAAUACGCGGUCGAGGGCACGUCGUGGCUCAAAAGCUGUGGGCGCCAGCUGCCGCCACCGCUGCGCAUGCGGCUGGAGGUCGGCAGGGCCGACAGCACCAGCACCAGUUGCUUGGCUGUGAUGCGCACAGGCGGCCACGCUGUUCGCUCUUCAAGCCUUUGUGACUAGGAUCCUUGUUGGCGUCAGUGCGUAUCCCCUGGUCGCCAGGUGUGCUGUGUUGUCUACUGGGGCGGGGCGCUCCUCGUCCCGCAGCUUCGAUCGAUGGUGGAUUCGGUACGUAGCGGAUAAGAGCAGCCGCCGCGAGACAGACGAGGAGGAGAGGGAGGGGGAGGCUGUUGUCGGUCGCCGUCGUCGUUGUUUGCCCUGUCGCCCUCCCUCUACCGCCACCACCACCCACCCACCCACCUCAACUCACGCCUGUCUACCGAGGUCGAGAAGAAUGCCUCCCCGCUUGAGAUUGCUGUUGCAGUCGUUAUCGCAGCUAUUGUCGGCCCGCUCCUUCUCUCUCAUGGCUGUGGUGUGUGUGUGUGUGUGUGUUUGUGUGUGUGUGUGUGUGUACCUGCGUGCAUGAUUAUUAGUGGGGGAGUGCGUAUGUGGGGGAGCUGUUGAAGUGCGGAGGCACACGGUCGCGUGCCGCACGGACUGCAGGUGUGCCGUAUGCCGUGAGCUUGUCUGUGCGCCGGCCGGCGUACAUGUUGCUGCCUCCUAUCAUCUUUUCCCUACCUCAUGACCUUGGACUUCCGCUUCUCUCGCGGAGCCGCCUUGAGCCGCACCAGCAGCGCCAGCCGCAGCCACACGAGAAAAGGCACAGCAGCUUACAGAUAAGGAAGGAGGAGUAAGUGAGAGCGAGCAAGGUCCUGCGGGUGCCCUUGCUCACACGCGUUGCAUAGCCCUUCCACUACCUCGGCGGCGAGCGCUGCAUCCUCCCAGCGCUCCUGCCCCCCCUCCCUCCACCCCGAAAAUAAAAUCUCGUUGCCUGUUCUCUUCACGUGUCUCCCAGACGGUCGGCCUUUCGCUUCCCCGCCUCCUUUGUUUUGCUCACGUGCCCUUCUUCUUUUCCCUCCUUGGCUACCCAUCAAUCACCGACGGCGCGCACAUCACCGCGUGAG
rnacentral:misc_RNA from 1 species